rnacentral:rRNA from 1 species
AUUGAACGCUGGCGGAAUGCUUUACACAUGCAAGUCGAGCGGCAGCGCAGGGGCAACCCUGGCGGCGAGCGGCGAACGGGUGAGUAAUGCAUCGGAACAUGUCCGGUUGUGGGGGAUAACCUGGCGAAGGCCAGGCUAAUACCGCAUGAGCUCGAGAGAGGAAAGCGGGGGACCGUAAGGCCUCGCGCGACCGGGUUGGCCGAUGUCCGAUUAGCUAGUUGGUGGGGUAAAGGCUUACCAAGGCGAUGAUCGGUAGCUGGUCUGAGAGGAUGAUCAGCCACACUGGGACUGAGACACGGCCCAGACUCCUACGGGAGGCAGCAGUGGGGAAUUUUGGACAAUGGGGGCAACCCUGAUCCAGCCAUUCCGCGUGAGUGAAGAAGGCCUGGUUGUAAGUACUC